AAUCCAAUCCAAUGUCGAGUCGAGUGCGAAAGGCAGGAGGUGCUCGCAGGCUGUGCGCGACCGUUUGUUCGGAUCAGUUCGGAUCGAGGGAAGUUUUAGCAAUAGCGAGUAGGGGCUGAUACACACGAGAAAAAUAUUGGUGGUGUGACGACGACGGGGACGGACCUUGUGAUGUAAGAAGCAACGGUGUUAAAAUAAAAAAAAACAAGAAAAAUCGAGAAAAAGGUGGGAAAUCAAGAGAAGCGAAAAAAGGGAGAGGUCUUGUAUCGCUAGGGAAGCAGGCGACAUUAAAAAAAAGAGAAUUCUUAUGCUUAAAAUCGUCGCGGUUGUAUGACAAAAUCGGUUCUCCCCUUGACAAUAACAGCCUGUAAAAAAAUUCCCUCGCAGAAAAUAUUAGAUUUUGUGGUUCUUGGUGGGUCGCGGCGACAGCGACAACUCACUUGUACUCCUUGAAACAAGGGGUACGCGGUUAAAUUAGCCGAUGAGUAACUAAUUGUAAGAGGCUGAAGCUUUAGGGCGUAUCGGAUAUUACUACUAUCAUUAGCUUAUCGUUACAUUCAUUCCCUGUCGUACGUCGCCGUAGCGUUCGCGAGAGUGCGCCAGAGACAAUGGUCUGUAAUGGUGGUUUUCGCUUGUUCACAUACGGGAUACGUGCUACACAACGGGCGACAGGACGCUCCGCUAACUAGUGACCGAGCUUCUAGACUCGGUCGCUGUCGCUGCCGCGACAGGCAUCGCCGAGGCUUGGCGAGCAUGGCGAUUAAUAUUGGUCGUCCGAAGAAAGCGUCUGUGUGAUCAGGCAGAGCCGGUCUCUAAUUCGCCUUGACGACAACGACACGACUCGACGACCGACGACUCAGCGACAAAAAGGAAGUCAUUAGUUGAUCGAUCGUGCAGUGUUUAUUCUAAUCCUAUAAAAGUGUAUUAGGUGCGUGGGUGUUCAGACUUUAAGGAGAGAAUUUUUAUUAUGCUUGUGAGUAUGGGGUUUCUCUACUCCAGGAACAUCGCCUGAGACAUCAGUGACAUCAUCUUGCAGCUUGGAACCCUCCUGAGUGUUUAGGAGCAUGGAGAUCGGUUCUGUCUCUGAAGACUCCUGUGGAAACAAGCAUUGACCACUGCCCGACACCUUUUCCAUCCUUACGGUUCCUUAGCAGAGACUGCCAGCUAGUUCUCACUCUAAUAAUGCAGAAGAGGGACGGUAGAGAGGCCCGAGCUGAUAAGGAGCUCGCUAGGGGCGGCGAUCGUGAACGAGAAAGGGAGCAGGAGGCUGCUAAAAGAAUAUCUAGAGGCAGUGAGGUUCCUACUAGAUCCAAUGCUCAUUCCCGCAGACAUAGUGUUGCUUCGUCUUCUGGAGUACUCAUGGUUGGACCAAAUUUCCGUGUUGGAAAGAAGAUUGGCUGUGGCAACUUUGGAGAGCUUCGGCUUGGGAAGAAUCUGUAUAACAACGAGCAUGUAGCCAUUAAAAUGGAACCGAUGAAGUCGAAGGCGCCGCAGCUUCACUUAGAAUAUAGGUUUUACAAAUUACUAGGAACACAUGUUCAUAACACACAUAUAGAGGGCGUACCGGAGGUCUACUAUUUCGGACCAUGCGGCAAAUACAACGCUCUGGUGAUGGAGUUACUCGGUCCAAGUUUGGAGGACCUUUUUGAUCUCUGUGGUAGAAGAUUUUCCCUCAAGACCGUUCUCAACAUCGCCACACAGCUCCUGCACAGGAUAGAGUACGUGCACAGCCGCCACCUAAUCUACCGCGAUGUUAAGCCAGAGAAUUUCCUCAUCGGCAGGAGCACGACUAAACGCGAGAAGAUCAUUCACAUCAUUGACUUCGGACUAGCCAAAGAGUACAUAGACUUGGAGACGAACAAACAUAUACCCUACCGGGAACACAAAAGUCUUACGGGGACCGCCCGUUACAUGAGUAUUAACACUCACCUAGGCAAAGAACAAAGCAGAAGAGACGACCUGGAAGCCCUUGGUCAUAUGUUCAUGUAUUUCUUAAGGGGUAGUUUACCCUGGCAAGGUCUCAAAGCAGAUACUCUUAAAGAACGCUAUCAAAAGAUUGGCGAUACAAAGAGAGCCACACCCAUCGAGGUUCUCUGCGAAGGUCAUCCAGAGGAGAUGGCUACGUAUCUGCGCUACGUGAGGAGGCUUGAUUUCUUCGAGACGCCUGAUUACGAGUACCUGAGGAAGCUCUUCCAAGACCUCUACGAGAGGCGAGGCUUCGUGAACGAUGGCGGAUUCGACUGGACGGGCAAGACUAUGUCAACACCAGUCGGAUCUCUGCAAACAGGACACGAGAUCGUUGUGUCGCCCAACCGUGAUCGGCAUCCUACGGCAUACAAGGAUGUACCCGGUGGCGGGGUGGGAGCAGGGGUUGGUAAAGGGGUAGGUGCCACGUGGCCUGACGCGGUGAAGCAAUCAGGAGCUGGUGGCACUUUGACCCCUGCUGACAGACACGGUUCCGUUCAGGUGGUGUCCUCGACUAAUGGAGAAUUGGCUAAUGAUGAUCCGACCGCUGGACACUCCAACACGCCUAUCACAGCACCGCAAGAAGUGGAGAUGAUCGAUGAAACCAAUGUUUGUUUCAUUUCCAGAUGCUGUUGCUUCUUCAAGAGGAAGAAGAAGAAAAGUGGAAGGCAAAAAUGACUGUCUGUGACCGUUGGGCUCGGGGGGUCGUCAGUACAGUGCGGGGCCAUUAGUGCUGGGACAAAUCCUGGACGUGGAUCGGUUGCACUGAAGAAAACAGGAAGACCAGCAAUGCGAGAACUCCCCGAGGUGACGGAAGAGAUCAUCGGCGAAAGGGAGCGGGAGGCCGCGAUGUUACUACACGCCGGAAGCCGUUCGGUGUCGAUCACAAUAACGCCGACGCCGACGCUACCCCCGCUCCCGCUCUCGAACUGAAGAGGUCCUUAUCAGCGUCGUCGUCAUUGUUGCCGAUGUCGCCGCCUAAGAAGCUGCCGCAACUAAUUAUCGCUAAACGCUAAACUCUAUGGAUUACUAUCGUUUACUAUGAAUCAUUAUCGCCUUUAUUAUUACGGUUAUUAUUAUUAUUAUGAAUUAAUUAAUUGAUUGAUUAAUUAUUAAUUAACGUCACUCUGUUCUAUUAUCGAUUAUCCAUUUUUAAUUCAUUCAUUCAUUCAUUGAUUAUACGAUCAUCCGCGAUCGCCGUUGGACCACCGACUUUUUAUAAAAAAAAAAAAGAAAAAAAAACAACCGGCCCACGGCAAGUCCGUCCAGCUUGCACGUGGCAUCCAUGGUGUGUGUAUAUAUAUAUAUAUAUAUAUAUAUAUAUACACACACACACACACACACACACACACACACACACUACAAACAAAGAAAAGACACUUUGUAGAGAUUUCCCAGGAAUAUCAUAAUCAGGAAUUGACGUAUCUUAGCUAGGUUAGGGCUCUCGCACCCUGGCGAUGGCCGGACCUCGGCUCCAUUAACGUACUCUGAGUGAUGUGUAUGUGACUGCAGACAAACGUACGAUUUAUAUACAUGUAGCGUCAAAGUCAUUUACGUUUCUCGUAUGUUUUGCGUAUACGUUCUGCGGGAUAUGUAAACCUUGAAGAAUCAUCGCCGAAUAGUCACCAAAAACUUUAGACUCCACUGUGACAGAGACGUCCUUCACGUUGAGGAACGUCCAUGUAUUCCAUCAAUGUACUUAGAAGUUCCUGUGAGAGAGUUGUCGCAACCUUUUAUUUUCCUUCACUUUGCCAAUCCGAUAACUCCCUCGCUAUCAUCACACGAGGAUACCUAUGGAGAUCAUUUCCAUGUUUUUGUAGACAGGACACAGUCAUCAUAUACGCUUAGAAUGAGAGAUGCACAAGGAGGGUGUAAUGAGAACCAAUAAAAAAUAUAAGAAAAAAAAUGAAGUACCGAACGCACCGAAGCGUUCAGUACUGUUUCAGGAGUUGUGUCUGGAUAUGUCGUAUUCGCGAAUAAUAUGCUCGAGGUUAACGUGACAAUGGACGUCUCUAGGGCAUAUAAAUAUCGAUCGGAAGUAAAUCAUCCUCGCAUUGAUAAAAUCGAAAAUGAUAGAUCUUCGAUAUAUGGUCUUCGGGGCGAUCGGCUGCUGGACGGUUAUUAUGGUUGUGAAUAUGUUUCCAAUCGAGAGACAGACAGACUACUUGAACGUCUAACAUGGAUCUACUAUAAUAAUAAUAAUUAUUAUUAAUGGGUACGUUGCGCGUGCCUAACAGUGAUGGAAUAAUUGUAUUUAUAGGUUAUAGAUGAGACACGCGAUGAGUGAUCAUUGUUCUUCUUUGUUUCUUUGUAUAUUUGUCUAUUGCGAGUAUAGAAACCAGGUCCCGGUUACUCGCACGAAGAGAUUUUUCUGCUGGGGUGAAGCCCUAGACGCGUGUGACGAUCUGUAUUACGGUGAAGCAAAUUGAACAAGGCUAAAAUUGCGAGCUUAUCUCCAGGAAAUGUCCCAGCCACAAAGGUCUGGCUAGUGAAGUUGAAGAGUGGGCUUGUGAUAUGGCAUGUUCCUCUUUGUUUUAUUAAAUUAGUAUAUUUUUUCUUGCAUCGUGUUUUUAAAAAAAAUGACUGUGCGCGAUGGUGAUGUUUUUUGCUAUUAAAGAAAUUAAACAGAAAAAGUAGACAGAAAUGGCUAAUUAUAAUUAAAGUUGGAGCCGAGUACGCGUAUGUUAUAAUUUGUAAAUAAUACGAUACAUUCGAAACGGUAAAUAAUUAAAUGAUAUCAGGCAGUAUUCCCGCGAGUGGGACGGUGGAUUAUCGGUUGACUAAGACUAGAGAAAAAUUUGAUAAUUAAACGAGAAAAAUAAAAGAAUUAAGAAAGGAAACUCAGAAAGCGUGGGAUAAGCAUGGACGGAAAAAAAUAUAUAUCGGACGUGAUAAAUGGUGUAUCGAUAAUUCCCUUUUUUUUGAAGACCGAUUAAACCAAGAAAUGAGAGAAACAAAGUGUAUUAGCUUCGAAGUUAUUAUACGUAAUAGUUAUUAUGUGUCGAUUUAAUGACGAUUAAUGAGACCAUUUAAUUGCACGACUCGAUCGUUGAUCGUUUAAUGCUGACGAAUCACAAUGAACAAUUGUUUUAAAAAAUAUUUUAAACUAUCCUCGUUGCUAUUCUGUAUAAUCUCGAUCCAAACGUAAUCGAAUUGUGACGGAUUCUAAUGUAAAGGUACGAGACACGUUAAUUACGGUUAGAUAUACAUGAAUAUACAAAUAAACAAAUUCAUAUACAUAUAUAAAAGAAAAGACAGGAGUCACACGCAACAUUCACACACGCGCAUAUAUUAUAUACGUGCGAUGUAUAUGUAUAUGCACGCAGAAAAUAAGUUCCGCGUUUUCACAGUUAUAACGUCUUCUUACUUCGACAUACGCGGAAUUUAUUUACUUGUAUUACAAAAAAGAGAGAAAACCCCUAAGGAAAGAGAUAUAAAAAAAUAGAAAAAAAACAUUUAAAAAAGGCAUUUUUAGCCUGUGAGCCUUUUCCGGGAGGACUCCAGAGAAUCUAACGCAAAAGUUCCCCAUGGCUCUUUCGUAUGCCGAAAGUAUUUCUUCGUCCUCUAUGUCGAUUUAUGCUUUUUUUCUGCAAAGCUGUUGAAUGAAAGGAGUAUCACAAGAAAAAAGAAACGCGUACAGAAAUGGAGGGAAAAGUGAAAUUCUUCGGGAGAGUGAGUGUGUUGCGUAUGCGACAUGAGAGAGUGAUUUGAUGAGAGAUCGUAAGAGAAAAAAAUUGCCACGAUUACGUUUACGUUACAUUACGUAAGUUAUGCUGGAAAAUAUGAAGAUAAUAGCGCUAGGAUAAAAAAAAACUGGGAAAUGCGCGAAGAUUGAAAGAGAAUUAAGUAGAUGAGGAAAAUAUGGUUGAAACUUUAUAAUGGGUAGGUCCUUUCGCCGGACGUACGACCGGCUCUCCAUUUAGAAUUUGUUUAAGGUUUUUUUUGCUGUUACUGCCCCGAAUAAUGCUUAUUUCUCUAGAAGCCUCCUCAUGAGCAUUGCGCUAUGCGAACUAUUGUAAAACCAAUGACGAACUGCGAUAUUUUCACGCGCAGUCGGGUAUUCUCGUAUUCUCCUCCCAGACCCCUCCUUUUUAUUAACACACUUUAUUCGACAUCCGUCUUCAUAGAAACUUAUUAUUACCCAAAUGAAAGGGAAAAAAAUAUGCGAAAUUUAUGUAUAUAAUUAAAUUGUUUUAGAAAUAUCACCUCAUGUAUGUACGUUACUUCAUGGAUUAAUUGGCGCGCCCUGUAUGUUUGUCUACCAUCUGUCGUGUAUCUUUUCUUUAUCAUCUGUACACGGAAUCUCAUUUGAUUUCAUUUUUCAACAUUUUUUUAUAAUCAAGAGAAAAUAAUUCUUAUUAAUAUUUUCUUCUUUUUCGCGUUCUUGUAAUUUUUCAACACUCUUUCGUGUCGCUCACCCUCUAACUGGAUUCUUUUUAUUUGUAUCCCCUUCAGAGCCACGACCAGAAGUCAUCUACUUGGCUCUUUUAGAUUUCUACUAAAUGCGUAAGCUGUGAUUGGUUUUAAUUUUUAAUUUGUAUUAAUGAACUAUCGUAUAGUAAUUAUAUUAUUAUUAAUUAAUUAUUGAUUAUGAUUAUUAUUUAACGAGUUAAUUAAUGGCAAAACUGUCCUUAUUGCGGGACACUUUGAUAAAUGGGAUGGAAAACAGAGGAAAAAAGACACUCGAAAUUGCGCGAAAGCUUGUUUUUUGUAAAUACAUCGUUGUGUUACGCGCUUAGUAAGUAAAGAGAAAAAAAAUAGUUACGAACUUCCCUCUGUGUCUGCCUUUCGUUUUACUCUUCAUUUCAUUUUUUCUUGUAUUUCAUUCUCUUCUGCAAGUCUGUUAUUCACCCUCAUGCAUUUAUUUUCAUAAAAACUUUACUCUCAUUUUUUAUCACUGGCAUCCGAUUUUCGUGUUUCACUUUAUCUCUUGGAAUUCCUCGACCGGACGAUCAUCCUUGGCGUAUUUAUUCAUACUCGUGUGGUAUGCUCAAGGUGUAAGCUUCCUGGAGUCCUGCAGAAUUUUUUCAAGAGCGGUUUAGACGCUCUACGAAUUGAGCUUGAUGUCUUUGUUAUUCAUGAAAAAAAAAUGAUCCGUUCUUUACUACUGAAGAAAGAAUUAGACCAAGUACGCAGCGUGUAUAGUUGUAUUUUGAGUUGGCUUAA